rnacentral:rRNA from 1 species
GUGCCAGCCGCCGCGGUGAUACGGAGGGGGCUAGCGUUGUUCGGAAAUACUGGGCGUAAAGCGAACGUAGGCGGCCUGGCAAGUCAGGGGUGAAAUCCCAGAGCUCAACUCUGGAACUGCCUUUGAAACUGCUAGGCUUGAAUCCUGGAGAGGCGAGUGGAAUUCCGAGUGUAGAGGUGAAAUUCGUAGAUAUUCGGAAGAACACCAGUGGCGAAGGCGACUCGCUGGACAGGUAUUGACGCUGAGGUUCGAAAGCGUGGGGAGCAAACAGGAUUAGAAACCCGAGUAGUCC